UAAAUGUCUGUAGGAUGGGACUGGA
rnacentral:piRNA from 1 species